UACGUAGGGGGCAAGCGUUGUCCGGAAUUAUUGGGCGUAAAGAGCGCGUAGGCGGUCCGAUAAGUCGGCUGUGAAAGUCAGGGGCUCAACCCUUGAAAGCCGGCCGAUACUGUCGGACUAGAGUCCGGAAGAGGCGAGUGGAAUUCCCGGUGUAGCGGUGAAAUGCGCAGAUAUCGGGAAGAACACCAAUGGCGAAGGCAGCUCUCUGGGACGGUACUGACGCUGAGACGCGAAAGCGUGGGGAGCGAACAGG
rnacentral:rRNA from 1 species